rnacentral:snRNA from 1 species
GUGCUCGCUUCGGAAGCACAUAUACUAAAAUUGGAAUGAUACAGAGGAGGUCAGCAUGGCCCCUGCGCAAGGAUGACACACAAAUUCGUGAAGUGUUCCAUAUUUUU